CUGCCUCAGUCUCCUGAGUAGCUGUGAUUACAGGUGGAUCAUGCUAGAUUGUCCCAGCCUGCCCUGUGCUUCAUUAGCCGGUCAACAGAUCCAUCUCAAAUACCUCCCAUGGGUACUUACUGAUUGCUUCAACACAAACCAUGGCACCCUUGAUGACUUUCCUUCAGGAAGCUCAAGGACUAUGCAUCCUUCUGGGUCAGAACUGGGCACACAGCCAUCAGUACUGGACAAUGGCGGCGGCUCAGGGACACACCGGAGCCCUGGCCCCUGCAGAGCUCCCAGCAUGGUUGAGAAGAGAGAUGCAAAAUGACCACAUGGCGGGUGAGGAGGAGCUCCCUCGGUGCAGCUGAGAUGAGCCCUAGACACUCUCAAUCACCCCCACGAUGACCCCUUCCCAGAGGUCCCCUCAGUCAUCUGCCCUGGACCAAGCUCUUUCUGAUCCUAGACCCUCCACCCUCCCCCUAUCUCCCAGGGCUCGGUGACAUUCCAGACAGAAAUUUCUGACCCUUUUACUUUGGCCCCUCCCUCCCCAGCCUAGUCUCUGGUCAAACUGGAUUCCUGGCUGUUCCCAGAACGAGCUGCCUUUCCCCACCUUGCCACCUCUGCCCUUGUUCUCUCUGCCUGAAUGUCCUCCUUCACUAGUCUCGCUGCCUUGCACAUCUCUCCUGAGGGCUGUCAUCUCAGAACGAGCUGCAUUUGUCCAGCGUGGCCCACCGUCUACUAGAGUGUCCUCCUUCAGCCUGUCCCACUGCCUUGCAAAACUUUUCUGGGGGAUCUGUUCACGAUGCCUUCUGUAGCAUACUCCAAGAAUCUAGCACCCCCUGGAGUUGUGCCACACAGCACCCCUUUGCAGUCAAGCUCCCUCAGCACCACCACCUCCACCCUGGAAGAGUUCCCCUUCCCUUUGAAAUCUCAGGGGACUUUGCAACCACCCUGGCUUUAUUGGAAGGCUUUGUAUGUCUCCACAGGGUAAACACCCAUUUACUGGGGUGAUGAUGUCUCCAGGAUCUAGUUCAUGUUUGUCGUUGGUAACUGGCCCCACCCAGUUCUGGGCAAACAGGCUGGACCCCGGCAGGAACAGAGCCCACCAGCCUAAACUUCCGUGGAGGUGGAGAGGGGGCAGGCUUCUGUCUCUUUUUGGCUGAAGGUGCAUCAUGUCCAAGGCCCCACUUCUAGCCAAGCAGAGAAGCUGGGUGAUAAAGAUGGGUGAGAGUGGGUGAUGUACCCAGGAGUCCCGGCCUCCCGGCUCCUCACUCCUCUACACAUAACUUUAUCCGGCCAAUGCCACAGACUGCUGGUGAGGCCAGAUGCACGAGUGAUCAUAAUCACAACAGUAGUGAAACUGCCAGUGAUGAAACUGAUAAGGACAAGAAAUGACAAUAAUCAAGGUGGGGUUUCUCGUGGACAUUUCCAAGACUUCAUUCUCAAAUUCUCUCCCUGAGGGUCCCCCCACCCUGUCCUCCCACCUAAGCCUGGAAUGAGGGGGCACUGGCCUUCAGGCUCCCAAACCUGGCUGGGUCUGGCCGCCCCCUGGCCUUGCCCUGUGAACAACCAGCUGUCCCUGGGCUGUGAUUCAGUGUCUGUCUCCCAGGUGACCUCAGCAUGGGCUUUGAGGAAGGGGAGAGAGUAGUUUCUUCUGAGACUGGAUAGUGACUCAGGGACCCGGGGCUGGGGCCUCAAAAGUGCCUUUUUUGGCCUGGGCUCAGGAAUCCAGAGAAACUGGUCAGGAGGAGGCCUCAGUGACGAAAACCCCUCCCUCUGCCCCCGCCCCUCUGCCAGAGCCAUAUAACUGCUCAACCUGUCCCCGAGAGAGAGAGAGUGCCCUGGCAGCUGUCGGCCGGAAGGAACUGGUCUGCUCACACUUGCUGGCUUGCUCAUCAGGACUGGCUUUAUCUCCUGACUCACAGUGCAAAGGCGCUCUCUGCGAACGUUAAGUCCAUCCCCAGCGCUUGGAACCCUACGGCCCCCACAGCCGGAUCCCCUCAGCCUUCCAGGUCCUCAACUCCCGCGGACGCUGAACAAUGGCCUCCAUGGGGCUACAGGUAAUGGGCAUCGCGCUGGCCGUCCUGGGCUGGCUGGCCGUCAUGCUGUGCUGCGCGCUGCCCAUGUGGCGCGUGACGGCCUUCAUCGGCA
rnacentral:lncRNA from 1 species